rnacentral:lncRNA from 1 species
GCUUCCAGAGGAGGGAGGGGGUCCUGGGGAUGCGCAGACAUGGGCUAGGCUGCAUGACCAGCACAGGCAGAGGGGCCUCACAGGGCUGGGCCCAAAGGAGGCCUGCCCCAGAAAAGAUGCAGCUCUUACAUCUUCAGGGCCCGGGGAGAUGGGGGGCGGGGCCCAGAGAACCCAGCACCACCUGGACCGAGAGCUGCCCCCAGCAUCGGAGAGGAAGGCCUGCCGGUCACUGCCACGUCAUGUACCCUGGGCAAAUCUACUGUCCUCUCUGGGCUCGUAGGACGGUGUUUGUCCACAUCAGAACAGUCUUGGCUGGGGAUGGACACGGGCUUUCAGCUUCUGGAAGGGAUGUGGGUAUUCACCCAAGCAGCUGACCAAGAGCUCUCCUGGGCCUGG